CUACGUAGGGGGCGAGCGUUGUCCGGAAUGAUUGGGCGUAAAGGGCGCGUAGGCGGCGCGGUAAGUCUGGAGUGAAAGUCCUGCUUUCAAGGUGGGAAUUGCUUUGGAUACUGUCGGGCUUGAGUGCAGGAGAGGUAAGUGGAAUUCCCAGUGUAGCGGUGAAAUGCGUAGAGAUUGGGAGGAACACCAGUGGCGAAGGCGACUUACUGGACUGUAACUGACGCUGAGGCGCGAAAGUGUGGGGAGCAAACAGGAUUAGAUACCCUGGUAGUCCACACUGUAAACGAUGAAUGCUAGGUGUAGGGGGUAUCGACCCCUUCUGUGCCGCAGUCAACACAAUAAGCAUUCCGCCUGGGGAGUACGGCCGCAAGGUUGAAACUCAAAUGAAUUGACGGGG
rnacentral:rRNA from 1 species